ACUCGAAUGCGUUAGAGAUGUUGUAUUGUGAAUAAAGAUUUGUUUAUGAAUAGAAGAAUGAGGUUGUUUGGAGUGUUUGUUUGUUGUUUUGGUUUGUAGAGAGGAAUAAUUUAGGGCCAAGAAUGGGGAAAAUUCUAUGGUGCGGAAGCUUCAAUACAACUCGGCCGUUACGAUUGAGAUACGUGUAAUGUCAAAAAAAAGAAAAAAAAAAAGAGGUAACCAUGGUUUGGCUGGCCGCCCGAGGAAAAAAUUGCAGAAAUUUCCACCCGAAGAAGAAAUUGGAUCCGUGUCUGAGAUACGUCGAGAAAUUUUGGCCGAGAGCAACAUUGUUCAACGGCGAAUUUGACGCUGAAUCCGAAUAUGUUUUCAGAUUCAAGAACGAUGGCGUAUAGAAAAAGUGCCUGAGAGUUUCGAUGAGGCGAUCACUGUUUCGGCCAAGGGCUCUCGAUAUUUGCGCCAGAUUUUUCAACGGGAACAUGAUGGUGAGUCGGAAAAAUAGUUUCUGAAUUAUUUUUAUUUUUGUAUUUUGUUCGAAAUGGUGUUUUAUGUUUGAAUUUGUUAUUUUAUAAUGAAUUUGUUUCCAAUAAAUUGGUCCUUCUUCGUCUUCUUGAGUGCAUCGCCGUGGUGGAGGUGCCUCUUUCGCCUCUCCUUCUCUCUGCCAACCUCACCUACUCCGAUUUUCUCAAUCCCUCUUUUCUCUCUCUAAAGAUCCAAUUUUGCUCGAGGGUUUUUGAUUGUGUAGCGUUCCAGCCGUUAGCUCGUUAGUAUUUCAAAGGUUGCUUUCAAAACAGGUGAUUACAAACAGCAAGUUAUUUUUAUUGGUGGGCAGUGGGCUGACCGAUGGGUUUUUGGCUACCGUGAGAUUUUGGGGGAAUUAAGAUUUUGUCAAGAGGUUCAAGCAGAGCCUGGUAUGAGUUCCCUGUUUCUUUUGUUGGUUUCUCUUGCUACUCUGAAUAGGCUCAUUGGAUGUUAACAAGAUAUCUCUAAAAUGUUCCUAGUAAUAUGUGAUGUUUUUGGAGCCUUACCUUUUAAGUUCAGGCACUAUAGCUUUUGCAUAGCAAGUUGAAAUCACACUCUAAUACCAUUAGUCGACUUUCAUAAGCAUAAUACAGCUCCUUUUUAGGAGUACUCAGUACAGAUGGUUUUAUAUAAUUUCUGAACCAUUAAAGUAACUCCAUACCCACUAAUCCCUUGCAAGAGUAACAAUACAUUUUGUUAAGCUACAGGAGUGGGCAUAUUAAGUGAAGUCAUUGAAAAGGGUGGGGUAAAAAACUUACUAUUAGAUAUUGAUUUUGUAAGAAACAAGUGAUGCUCAUGGAUAUUGGGUGAUCAAGUGGACCCAGCUCUGGUGGCUAUACAACAAGUAUUGUUCUGCCCUUGGUGCAGAUUUUGCACUUUAUACUUUUAAGUUUAAACAUCUAUCAUCUUGUAUUAAGCAUUGUAUGUCCUGAAAAUUUUCUCAAGAGAGUAGCCUGACAAUUUUUCUCAUGAAACACUUACAUCAGACCAACAGAAACGAGCUGGGCGAUCCUAUGAUGCCCACUUAUAUGAGAGGUUGGAUGCUAAACCAAACCAAGGUCAGGGAUCCUUUUUGGAGGGUUUGGUUACAACUUCUCCUGUAAUAAAAAAAUUGGAUGGGUAUUUCAAUUUUUUUCAUUUGGACAGAUUCUUCUAUUUUCUAUCAAUUGACAACAUUUUAUGUUUAUUAUGUUCUUUAAGUGUGCAAUAUUGUUGCCUAAGCUUUUUAGUAUGUCAUUAAGUGUGCAAAAAUUGAUUUUCUAUAUACUCCUUUCUUUAUCUUCAGUUUUGCUUCUUUCCUAACUAAUAUAGCAGCUGAUAUUUCUCAUGAAUAAUCAUGUAUACAUAUAUACAUAUGGGAAUUUUUUGUGCUUUAUAUACCUGUAGUGUCACAAGCAAUCCUUUGCUGGUAGAGCGCCACAUUGUGUUAUUAUUUAGAAUGAACAUUUAUUUGUGCUUUAUAUACCUGUAGUGUCUUUACAUGAAUAUUACAUUGCACCACUAUAAAUUUUUUGGAUUCUAAUAGACUUUAAGUGGAAUUCAGCAUCUAUAGUUUGGAUUUGUGCAUUUUCCUUUCCAGUUCAGUCCAAGGGAAAGCAAACAUCAGGUUAACCAGGACCAUGGACUUUAUAGUAUGAAUUAGUAAGGUGCUGUCGUUAGCUGUUAUCAGAGCUAUUCUCUCCCAAUUUUAUCCUGAAAAUUACUGUAGCCCCUGGCCGAUUGGCUCAAAGCAGCAGAAGCUAGCCACAUCUGAUAUAAAGUGAGAAGACCAACUGAUUUUUUUAUUUUAUUUUAUCUUCUGCUGAUUUUUAGUAUCUCGAGCUCUGAGCUGCUCGUGCAGGGAUGACGACGUUGCAAAGUGGAAGAAGGUGGAGAUGGUGUUGGAAGCAUAUGGAUCAGAUGCUAAUUCAAUAUUGCAGCUGACAACAUCAAAAAGGUCUACAAUAUGGCUUGAUCAAGUCUCAGCACUCGGAUGCCAAGCAGCUGAGAAGGAACUCCCACAACAAGACCAUUUAAGAUUGAAUGGACCAUUGCCUGAUUUUCGUUCUAUUUCUGAACUGUAACUGAAAGACAACGUGCGAUACUAGAAGAAUUUGAGAAGGAACAAUUGGAUGAAAAUAACAGAUCUGGUGCAGGCAGUUGGGACAUGGAUUUCGACAAGAUCUUUUCAACAUGCUUGCUGCUUUGAAGCCGGGAUUUAUCAGAUUUCCAGGUGAUUGUGAAGAGUGGGGAUGACUGUAGACAGGAACACCUGGCUGUACAACUUAUUUCUCACUUUUAUGAUAUAUUCCAGGAGGCUGGUCUCUCACUGUGGUUGCGUCCUUAUGAAGUUUUAGUUACUUCUUCUUAUACAGCUCUUAUUGAAACCAUACCAGACACGAUUCAAGAACGAUGGCGUAUAGAAAAAGUGCCUGAGAAUUUCGGUGAGGCUAUAGCUGUUUCGGCCAAUGGCUCUCGAUAUUUGCGCCAAAUUUUUCAACGGGAAGAUGUGCAUCGCCGAGGUGGAGGUGCCUCUUUCUCUCUCAGAUUGUCUCUUCAAACUAGUGCUAAUUGGCGAUUCGGGUGUUGGGAAAUCGAAUCUUCUCUCGAGAUUCACCAAGAGCGAGUUAAAUCUCGAGUCCAAGUCCACUAUAGGCGUUGAGUUCGCAACCCGGAGUCUUAAUAUUGAUGGUAAAGUUAUCAAGACUCAGAUUUGGGAUACCGCUGGUCAUGAAAGGUCUCCCCUUUUUCUUUUUCCUUGUUCUCUAUUUUUUUUUCCUGAUCUUUUUGGGCAAGAUUCGAUUUUUAUUAUUGUGUGUUUGCUUUUUGUUUGACUUGAACAAGAUAACCGCCAUUUUGUGUGUUGUUGAUGAUGCAGAAGUGCAAUUCCGUCCUUCUGUAGUUGGGAGUUUAUGUGUGUGUGUUUUGUGGGGAGAUUGCUUCUGAUGCGGUGUUUCAUUGCUGAUUUUUUAUUCCUUGUACCUCUGUUUUCUCCCCUCUACUGCCAACCUGCAGAAUUUUCAUUACAUAUUACAACAUCAAUGCUAAAUGGAGCAUUUUUUUUGUUGUUAUCACUUACAGCAAUUGUAAUUGAUGUAGUUUCUAUGAUAAUUUAGACGAAGAAACUGUGUAUUUGUUUAGACGAUGUUCCAUUGUAGAGUUCAAAUCAUUCUAGGAUGCCAAAUGUUGUGCUUUAUAUUGGUGAGCUCUUGGAGAUUGGUAUAUGAAACUCCCAGUUGGAUAUGAAUUUCAGAUGACUAAGCUGACUGAGGACGAUGAGUUCUUGAUAAUUGCAUGCGAUGGUAUUUGGGAUGUUAUGUCGAACCAGGAGGCAGUUAGCCUAGUACAGAAAGAGCUGAGGUACCACAACGACCCAGAACAAUGAAGCGUUAAUGCGAGAUAUAGGUGACAACGUCACAGCCAUCAUGGUUUGUUUCUCCUCUUCUAAGCGUCAAGAUACAGUUUCUUGUCAAAGACCGAGACUGAGAUUCUGCAAGGGCCAAGUUGAGGAAGUUCAUAGAAGGCAAUUGAAUGAAAACCGGGCAUACACCUUUGAUCCUUGUUUGGGCGAGAGCUGCUGUAGCUGCUUGAGCUAGCUAUACACUAUAUUCUUUGUGAAGAUAAUCAUACAUAUCAAAUGAUUAUUUUUCUUCUGUUUUGAGGUUGCUUCAGAAAGCAGUGAGAAAAAGCAACCUUGUGUAUUGGUGGCAGUGGUCAUGAGUGAAUCUAAAUAUUAUUGAAUUUUGAACAAUUUUGGUCGUUUAGGUUCUUUGUAUUCAAUUUUUUGGCUACCAUCUCAAUGAAUGUGAACCCCCUAAGAUUCUUGCCCA